UGUGGGAGCGAGCUUGCUCGCGAUGACGGAGUGUCAGCCAACAUCACUGUUGAAUUCAUGACCGCUAUCGCGAGCAAGCUCGCUCCCACA
rnacentral:antisense_RNA from 2 species